UACGUAGGUGGCAAGCGUUGUCCGGAAUCAUUGGGCGUAAAGCGCGUGUAGGCGGCCCGUUAAGUCGGAUGUGAAAGCCCGGAGCUCAACUCCGGAACUGCAUCCGAUACUGGCGGGCUUGAGGCAGGUAGAGGAGAGUGGAAUUCCCGGUGUAGCGGUGGAAUGCGCAGAUAUCGGGAGGAACACCAGCGGCGAAGGCGGCUCUCUGGGCCUGGCCUGACGCUGAGGAGCGAAAGCGUGGGUAGCGAACAGG
rnacentral:misc_RNA from 1 species